GCUACAUUCUCCUACUUCAAGUCACUGUCUGUUCAUCCACGGUGUAGCCAGUGCAGCUCAGCAGAGUCCUACUAAUGGUGAUCCUUCAAGUCCUGCUGUCCUGUGAAGCAAGCUGCAGCAGAUGUCAUGACAUUCAGAUCAUCAGUUUAUCUUUACUGCAGCUUUAAACUUUCCCUGAGGUAACGGUGUAUUUCCUUGCCCCAUAACAAAAACCAUGUUUGACCAACAUAGAAAAGCACAGAAUUACUGUUAGCACAGGAUUACAGAGUUAAAGUGAAGGGGAUUUUGUUUGUUUUUUCAGACCUCUCCUCCUCCUGCAUCUGACUCCAGUGAUGCUGUCAACUUGAACACUGAUAACUGCACACAGUGAUCCUACAACCACAGGUCAAAGGUCAAAACAUUACCUCACUCUAAACCUUCACUCAGAACUGUACCGGGCUCUGCUUUUGGUUUAGAAAAAAAGUGCCCAGACAGAACACAGUACUCACUUAAGGAACUGACUGAUUGUCUUCAGGACAGGACAACUACUACUCUUGUAUUGUUUUGAAUCGUGGUUACUACAUUGUGUGAUCUGUCAUAUCUGUUGAUAUUUUAAGUUUCCUUUGUGGGUUAUUUUUUAACUUUAUUUUUUCAUUUUAUCUUAGUGUUUCCUUUCCCUUUCACCAUGUAUCUGUCCUCAUAUCAUAAGAUGACCAACACUGAUGAAGGGAAAAAAUACCACUUACUUAAGUUGCUGCAGGCACUUGAAUUUGUCAUGUUUUAAUAUGCUCACCAUAUGCCUCCAAUUUACCUACAAGAGAGGACAUGUUUUUAGGACAGAAUUAUGUACUUUGGGUUUCAGCUGGUAGGUACACUGAAGGUUUUUCACGUGUGCUUAGUCUUGGGCUAAUGUUUUGGACAGCAGUGAUCCAGGCAUUACAGUGUGAAACAAUCCCUGCUGAAGGUUGUCGUCACAAUCCUCAAAACACAGGGCUUGGUUAAACGAGCUGUGUAAAGUGAUUUCAUAGAAGAACAAAAUUUUUUAUGCUUAUCCUUAAGCUACUGUAAUUCUCCACAGUAGAUAAUUUUUUGAGCAGAAACUGUCAAUGUGAAGACGACCCAGCAUUUCAGUAAGACCGAGCAGUCUGAAUGUUUGGACAAGAAAACACUGAAAACAAAAAUGAUUGUCAGUCUGCUGCAAUGAGCUGAUGACAGUAUUGGCCUUGUUCUAACUACUCUGUGAAAAGCCUUUUGGUAGUAAGGUGGACCAAUACAUGACAUCAAUGUAUUUCAAGUUCUCAAUUCUAUUCUUUGAAAUGACCAUUUUAGAUUUUUUUCCAAACUUCCACUUCAUUUUUGUUUUUCUAAAUUAUUUUUUAUACAUGAGAGGGCCCACACUUCACUGCAGUUGGCUUCAAAAAUACCAUAAUGCCAUACUGAAGUUAUUAACCUUUCACCUUACCUUGCCUGUAUAUUUCCACAAGCCUGGAUGACAUUGCAUUUUUGCACUUGCAUUCUUUAUCUAACCCUUUACAUUAUUUUAAACCAAUUUCUGUUUAAUACUGCUGUACUUCACUGUACAGUAAACUGCUGAGUUAUUUUUUCACAUUAUUCCU
rnacentral:lncRNA from 1 species